rnacentral:rRNA from 1 species
GGAGCUUGCUCUUGGGGAUUAGUGGCGAACGGGUGAGUAACACGUGAGUAACCUGCCCUUGACUCUGGGAUAAGCGUUGGAAACGACGUCUAAUACCGGAUACGAGCUUCCACCGCAUGGUGAGUUGCUGGAAAGAAUUUUGGUCAAGGAUGGACUCGCGGCCUAUCAGCUUGUUGGUGAGGUAAUGGCUCACCAAGGCGACGACGGGUAGCCGGCCUGAGAGGGUGACCGGCCACACUGGGACUGAGACACGGCCCAGACUCCUACGGGAGGCAGCAGUGGGGAAUAUUGCACAAUGGGCGAAAGCCUGAUGCAGCAACGCCGCGUGAGGGACGACGGCCUUCGGGUUGUAAACCUCUUUUAGCAGGGAAGAAGCGAAAGUGACGGUACCUGCAGAAAAAGCACCGGCUAACUACGUGCCAGCAGCCGCGGUAAUACGUAGGGUGCAAGCGUUGUCCGGAAUUAUUGGGCGUAAAGAGCUCGUAGGCGGUUUGUCGCGUCUGCUGUGAAAUCCCGAGGCUCAACCUCGGGUCUGCAGUGGGUACGGGCAGACUAGAGUGCGGUAGGGGAGAUUGGAAUUCCUGGUGUAGCGGUGGAAUGCGCAGAUAUCAGGAGGAACACCGAUGGCGAAGGCAGAUCUCUGGGCCGCUACUGACGCUGAGGAGCGAAAGGGUGGGGAGCAAACAGGCUUANAUACCCUGGUANUCCACCCCGUAAACGUUGGGCGCUAGAUGUGGGGACCAUUCCACGGUUUCCGUGUCGUAGCUAACGCAUUAAGCGCCCCGCCUGGGGAGUACGGCCGCAAGGCUAAAACUCAAAGGAAUUGACGGGGGCCCGCACAAGCGGCGGAGCAUGCGGAUUAAUUCGAUGCAACGCGAAGAACCUUACCAAGGCUUGACAUAUACGAGAACGGGCCAGAAAUGGUCAACUCUUUGGACACUCGUAAACAGGUGGUGCAUGGUUGUCGUCAGCUCGUGUCGUGAGAUGUUGGGUUAAGUCCCGCAACGAGCGCAACCCUCGUUCUAUGUUGCCAGCACGUUAUGGUGGGAACUCAUGGGAUACUGCCGGGGUCAACUCGGAGGAAGGUGGGGACGACGUCAAAUCAUCAUGCCCCUUAUGUCUUGGGCUUCACGCAUGCUACAAUGGCCAGUACAAAGGGCUGCAAUACCGUAAGGUGGAGCGAAUCCCAAAAAGCUGGUCCCAGUUCGGAUUGAGGUCUGCAACUCGACCUCAUGAAGUCGGAGUCGCUAGUAAUCGCAGAU